UUGAUGGACGCGAGCUUAAUGAACCCAGGAUAAAGGAAUUAGCCCAAGCAGAAGGCAGAAAAAGCAUUAAGAACAGGCGAAGACUACAUUGGCAUAGUGGCAACAACAACCACUGCAACUGAAGGCCAAUGACCAUGUGACUGACUGCUCUAGACUGAAUAUCUGUGUUUCCCCAAAUUCCUAUGCUGAAAUCCUAACACCUGACGUGAUGGUAUUUGGAGAUGGGGCCUUUGGGAGGUGAUUCGGUGAUGCAGAUGGAAGCUUCAUGAAUGAGAUUAGUGCCCUCAUCAAAAAGACACCAGAGAGCUACUUUAAUCCUCCCACCACGUAAGAACACAGGGAGAAGAGGUCCCUCUAUGAAUCACCAGACACCAAAUACGACCUUGAUCUUGGACUUCCCAGCCUCCAGAACCAUGAGUUUACGCCACACAAUCUAUGGUGUUUUUGUUACAGUAGCCCGAACAGACUGAAACUCUGACCGUGGAAGUUAUUCUAUUUUCUUUUCUAAAAUAGUUGAUCAUCAAAACAGAUUGACUGGAUUGCAUAAACCCCUCUCAGUCUUGGGACUUCUUUUGGGAAGGAAGACCUCAGGGAUGGAAGAAAUCUUCCCUCCACAGGUGGAUUGAGGGGUUAGAGUAACUUAAUUAGAAUAUUGAAAGAAAGGUACCUUAUUUUGCUUCCAAAGCUGGUAACUCCGUACAGAACAAUUCCAUAUUUCACUGUGCAGAUUAUCAGGGAGCCAAUAAAAAGGAUGUGUCCAUUCAACUGCUGACUGUCUGUAGUACUGAUUUAAUGGUCUCAAGAAAAGUUUGAGAAAUGAGUAUUUCCUGCUGGGAGCUGUGCUCACAUAAAGAAAUGGAAGAGCCUGCAAACAGAGGAUAGACAGUGAGAAAACAAGUUUGAAGCUCGUCUUCAUGAAUUAAUUAUAAAAUGCCUGAAGUAGAAGAUUGGAUCUGGUUUAAAAAAUAAAAAUGUCCUGCAAUUUAAAUCACUGAGCUGUCCCCAUAACCAUCAGCCUCUGGCAAUGAUCUCUGAACUCAGGUCUUUCUUUUCACAGUCCUUGUGAAAUAAUGAAUCACUUCUUGAAGAUGACAGGUGGAUAAAAUAAGAGAUGAAACAACAAAUAAGAAAAUAAGCCAUUCUCUUCCAGGAAAAAUGGAACAAGGAGCCUUCAAAUCUCCUAAGCUUUGCUGUGAAAAGUUUCUUUCUUAAACAGUUAGAGCAAAUAUUUACUUAGUUCUGCCACAUAUCCAGGACCAGGCUUUUGGAAUGAGUUACAGUCUUCUUUCAAGUGUUUCACUACUGAUGAAAAUAUUCUGUAAUAUAAUGGCUUUAUUUUUAACACACUUUCUUUUUGAAACAUUGUGUAGUCAAAACUUCCCAAGGCCAAAUAGGUUUUGGUCAGACAAAUUAGAUCAUGCCCAGCAAGUGGCAGCAUGACAAAAGGAUGCCUUAAAUACUGCCAGGGGAACCAUCCUGGUCUAUAGGUAAUAAUCAUUUGAUUAGAAACUUUGUUCAUGUCAUUGUGGGGGUCAAUUAUCAUUGCUGUCUACAGGGAAAACCAGGGACUUGUAUAUCUCAGAGCCUGACUUCACUUUCUCUUUCAAUGGUAAUUAACCUUGGAGGCCUGUCCCUGCUACCUGGAAACUGUCCUUGAAGAGAAGAUUUGUGGGCAAUAGGUUACUGAUGCAAACACUCGGGAAUAACACCUGUGAGGGUGUGAGAGACGCAAGAUGGAGCAGAGGAAGAAGUUGAGCUGAUGCUGCUGCAGCCGAGGCCUGAACCUCUCCCAUAGGACGUUGCCUGAAUUUAGGCGAGGAGGCAAAGUUUCAAUAUUCCACCUUAAUCACUUUGAGAUGUGGGCCAUCCUCAGGGAGGGACCUCGCUUGGGUAAGGCAGCUUCCUUUGGCCGAGAGAAAUGCCUGGAGACAGUGCUGGAGUCCUCAGCAGCUAACAUUCCCUCCCCUGCCCACCCCACCUCCGGGGGAACACAUUCCUUGGUUCUGGCUGGGAUGGAGAGAGAUGGAGGGAGAAUCUGGCUGACACAGCAUAGAUCCACUGCAAGG
ensembl:lncRNA